GGGGGUGACCGGAUUUCGACAGAAAUGAUUCGAAAUAGAAAAUGGCUAUUCAGUUGGUGUCUGGCGCAACUGCGAUCUCUACAGACAAACAUACAUGCUAACAAUACAGCAUCUCGAGUUUUCAACUCAGCUAAACGAUUUGCAGCGUCUUUCGCUCCAUCUUUCGCUUACGCUGCCUAGUUGUAAUCUCACCGUGACUCAUCUAUUAUCAUGAGUUCCGCUUCACUCUUUUUAUAAGCAGAAGAAAAGGGCUGGAGCGUAAUUAUUUCUGCUUCAUAGAGGGAUUCUCUGAGGAAUAGGCCUCUCUUUGUAUAAAAUUUCUUCGGAGAAAAGAGCUUUACGCUUGUUUUUUAUUCUCUUCUUCGUCAACUUUUAAGACAAAAUAUAAUAGUAGAAGUUUUCUCUUUCCAUUUUUGGACGCGGGUUCAAUUCCCGCCACCUCCACCA
rnacentral:tmRNA from 1 species